rnacentral:rRNA from 1 species
UACCCUUGACAUGCCACUAACGAAGCAGAGAUGCAUUAGGUGCUCGAAAGAGAAAGUGGACACAGGUGCUGCAUGGCUGUCGUCAGCUCGUGUCGUGAGAUGUUGGGUUAAGUCCCGCAACGAGCGCAACCCUUGUCUCUAGUUGCUACGAAAGGGCACUCUAGAGAGACUGCCGGUGACAACCGGAGGAAGGUGGGGAUGACGUCAAGUCCUCAUGGCCCUUAUGGGG